rnacentral:lncRNA from 1 species
AUAUAUGUAUGUAUAUAUAUACAUAUAUAUAUAUGUAUAUACAUAUAUAUAUGUAUAUAUGUACAUAUAUACAUGUAUAUAUAUACUUAUUGUUGGGUAUAAAAUAACUUCCGUCGAAGUUCAUAAGAGGCCGACCCUCUCAGGGUUCUUCCGGCUUCCGACUUUGUGUGGCGUCUUUCUGAACCUCUCCGGCCGUCCGAGCUUCCAUAAUACCAUCCGGACUCCUCCAAUAGUCGGCCUUCCAUAGUGUCCUCC